rnacentral:rRNA from 1 species
UACGAAGGGGGCAAGCGUUGUUCGGAAUUACUGGGCUUAAAGGGUGCGUAGGCUGCGCGGAAAGUUGGGUGUGAAAUCCCUCGGCUCAACCGAGGAACUGCGCUCAAAACUACCGUGCUCGAGGGAGACAGAGGUGAGCGGAACUUAGGGUGGAGCGGUGAAAUGCGUUGAUAUCCUAAGGAACACCCGUGGCGAAAGCGGCUCACUGGGUCUCUUCUGACGCUGAGGCACGAAAGCUAGGGUAGCGAACGGG